CCGGAAUAGCUCAGUUGGUAGAG
rnacentral:tRNA from 1 species